GUAUUUACUGUGGCAGCACAGAUACUAAAAUUGGAACAAUACAGUGAAGAUUAGCAUGGCCCAAGUGAAAGGAUGACAUGCAAAUCUGUGUAACAUCCAUAUUUUU